AGCGAACGCUGGCGGCAGGCUUAACACAUGCAAGUCGAACGCAUCCUUCGGGGUGAGUGGCAGACGGGUGAGUAACACGUGGGAACGUACCCUUGGGUUCGGCAUAACACAGGGAAACUUGUGCUAAUACCGGAUACGCCCUCUUGGGGAAAGGUUUACUGCCGAGGGAUCGGCCCGAGGCUGAUUAGCGAGGUGGCGGGGUAACGGCCUACCAAGGCGACGAUCAGUAGCUGGUCUGAGAGGAGGAUCAUGCACACUGGGACUGAGACACGGCCCAGACUCCUACGGGAGGCAGCAGUGGGGAAUAUUGGACAAUGGGCGCAAGCCUGAUCCAGCCAUGCCGCGUGAGUGAUGAAGGCCUUAGGGUUGUAAAGCUCUUUUGUCCGGGACGAUAAUGACGGUACCGGAAGAAUAAGCCCCGGCUAACUUCGUGCCAGCCGCCGCGGUAACAC
rnacentral:rRNA from 1 species